GGUCACUCAGGUCCAACCGAUAAAUGGCAACAGUUGGUGCCCUGAAACAGGGACCUGAAGGAUAAUUUUGAAAGUGAUGUGGAGACCCUCACAGAAGGAGAUGUCCAUGGAUUCCCCAAAACAUUAUGAGUUCCUCUUCAGAGCAUCAGGCCAAGGAAAACCAAUGAACAUGUCCAACAAAUUGAUGACUGCCCCUCAAAGGGAGACUCCUAAAGAUGAACAAAUGGAACCAGCUACAUACAAGAUACAUGCUCUUACUUUUAAGAAGAAAUGUUCUAAUCCAUAUUAUGUGAAAAGUUCUGUCCCUACUUGGGGACAAACUAAAGCAUUAUCAGUAAAAGGUGAAAACGUCUUGUGAUCCACUCAAAGUCCCAUCACUCCAGAGAAUCUUUUCUUGGCCAUGGCUGCUAUCCUUACCUGUGCAUCUUUGGAUACUCCUGUCUCCAACAACAAUUAAAUUCUUACAAAACUUCUGACGCCAUGGUCAUGCUGGGAUUGCUACAUUUAAAAAAUAAAAAAGGGGGAAUUGUCGGAGCCAGCAGUGGGACCUUGCCUGUGUGAGUUGGUAUCUGAGAAAGCUCCAAGGAAGUGAGACAAAAGUCUCAGGACCAGAACUUGUGUGUGUGAUUUGGUACCUGGUCUUAUGAGAAAACUCCAAAGAACUGAGGCAAAAGUCUCAGAACCAGAUGUCCAGAAAAACAACAGUGCUCAAGUUUCCCCAGAUGGCUUCAUGUCCUUCAGAUGUAAAUAAGAAGGUUAUGCUGACCGUGUGCUUCUCCUGCUUCUUUGUUCCAGUUUUAAAAGAGAUAUAACAAAGUUAAUUUUAACUGUGCUUCCUUGUACUAAUGUAACCUUGACAUGUAAUACUUGGCAUGCUUUUUCUGACCAAAUGCUC